CAGUCGCCACGGUAAUACGAGGGGUGCAAGCGUUAUUCGGAUUGAUUGGGUGUAAAGGGUGUGCAGACGGCUUAUUAAGUCACUUGUUAAAUUCUUCGGCCUAACUGAAGGUCUGCAAGUGAUACUGAUGAGCUAGAGGGUGGAAGAGAGAAGUGGAAUUCUCGGAGUAGCGGUAAAAUGCGUAGAUCUCGAGAGGAACACCAAUGGCGAAGGCAGCUUCUUGGUCCAUUCCUGACGUCCAUACACGAAAGCGUGGGGAGCAAACAGGAUUAGAUACCCCCGUAGUCCCUGUCUCUUAUAC
rnacentral:rRNA from 1 species